rnacentral:rRNA from 1 species
AGUUACGGCCAUAUGAUGGAGAAAACACCAGAUCCCGUCUGAUCUCUGCAGUUAAACUCCUUACAGUAUCGUCAGUACUACGGUAAGAGAUUACGUGGGAAUACGAUAUGCUGUAAUUUCAU